AUACGGAGGGUGCAAGCGUUACUCGGAAUCACUGGGCGUAAAGCGCGCGCAGGCGGUCUUUUAAGUUGGAUGUGAAAGCCUACAGCCCAACUGUAGAACUGCAUCCAAAACUAUUAGACUAGAGUCUGGGAGGGGAAGAUGGAAUUAGUUGUGUAGGGGUAAAAUCCGUAGAGAUAACUAGGAAUACCAAAAGCGAAGGCGAUCUUCUGGAACAGUUCUGACGCUGAGGCGCGAAAGCGUGGGGAGCAAACAGGAUUAGAAACCCCGGUAGUCC
rnacentral:rRNA from 1 species